AUUGAACGCUGGCGGCAUGCCUUACACAUGCAAGUCGAACGGCAGCACGGGAGCAAUCCUGGUGGCGAGUGGCGAACGGGUGAGUAAUAUAUCGGAACGUGCCCGGUCGUGGGGAUAACGUAGCGAAAGCUACGCUAAUACCGCAUACGAUCUACGGAUGAAAGCGGGGGAUCGCAAGACCUCGCGCGAUUGGAGCGGCCGAUAUCAGAUUAGGUAGUUGGUGAGGUAAAGGCUCACCAAGCCGACGAUCUGUAGCUGGUCUGAGAGGACGACCAGCCACACUGGGACUGAGACACGGCCCAGACUCCUACGGGAGGCAGCAGUGGGGAAUUUUGGACAAUGGGCGCAAGCCUGAUCCAGCAAUGCCGCGUGCAGGAUGAAGGCCUUCGGGUU
rnacentral:rRNA from 1 species